rnacentral:rRNA from 1 species
GAUGAACGCUGGCGGCGUGCCUAAUACAUGCCAGUCGAGCGAACAGAUGAGGAGCUUGCUCCUCUGACGUUAGCGGCGGACGGGUGAGUAACACGUGGAUAACCUACCUAUAAGACUGGGAUAACUUCGGGAAACCGGAGCUAAUACCGGAUAAUAUAUUGAACCGCAUGGUUCAAUAGUGAAAGACGGUUUUGCUGUCACUUAUAGAUGGAUCCGCGCCGCAUUAGCUAGUUGGUAAGGUAACGGCUUACCAAGGCAACGAUGCGUAGCCGACCUGGGAGGGUGAUCGGCCACACUGGAACUGAGACACGGUCCAGACCCCUACGGGAGGCAGCAGUAGGGAAUCUUCCGCAAUGGGCGAAAGCCUGACGGAGCAACGCCGCGUGAGUGAUGAAGGUCUUCGGAUCGUAAAACUCUGUUAUUAGGGAAGAACAAAUGUGUAAGUAACUAUGCACGUCUUGACGGUACCUAAUCAGAAAGCCACGGCUAACUACGUG